rnacentral:rRNA from 1 species
UACGGAGGAUCCAAGCGUUAUCCGGAUUCAUUGGGUUUAAAGGGUGCGUAGGCGGAUUAAUAAGUCAGUAGUGAAAUCUCUCGGCUCAACCGAGAAACUGCCAUUGAUACUGUUAGUCUUGAGUGUACUUGAAGUGGGCGGAAUAAGUCAUGUAGCGGUGAAAUGCAUAGAUAUGACUUAGAACACCAAUUGCGUAGGCAGCUCACUAAAUUACUACUGACGCUGAGGCACGAAAGCGUGGGGAGCGAACAGGAUUAGAUACCCUGGUAGUCCACGCCGUAAACGAUGAUCACUCGCUGUUGGCGAUACACUGUCAGCGGCCAAGCGAAAGCAUUAAGUGAUCCACCUGGGAAGUACGCCGGCAACGGUGAAACUCAAAGGAAUUGACGGGGGCCCGCACAAGCGGUGGAGCAUGUGGUUUAAUUCGAUGAUACGCGAGGAACCUUACCAGGGCUUAAAUAUAGAGUGACAGCUUGAGAAAUCAGGCCUCCUUCGGGCACUCUACAAGGUGCUGCAUGGUUGUCGUCAGCUCGUGCCGUGAGGUGUCGGGUUAAGUCCCAUAACGAGCGCAACCCCUAUUCUUAGUUGCCAGCGAGUAAUGUCGGGGACUCUAAGAAAACUGCCAGCGCAAGCUGUGAGGAAGGUGGGGAUGACGUCAAAUCAUCACGGCCCUUACGUCCUGGGCUACACACGUGCUACAAUGGUAAGUACAAUGAGAUGCCGAACAGCGGUGUUUAGCCAAACUCAAAAACUUACCUCAGUUCGGAUUGCACUCUGCAACUCGAGUGCAUGAAGCUGGAAUCGCUAGUAAUCGUGGAUCAGCGUGCCACGGUGAAUACGUUCCCGGGUCU